UGUUUCAGAAAGUCGGACAACAGCAGU
rnacentral:sRNA from 1 species